rnacentral:tRNA from 1 species
UACUUUGUAGCUCAUUUGGUUAGAGCAGUAGACUCGUAAUCUAUUGGUAGUGGGUUCAAAUCCCACCAAAGCAU